AAAUGCAUUGGCUGCGACGAGCCGAAAAUAUUUGUAAUUGGCAGCACAGUGAAGUGACACAGGGCAAUUUCGUAACACUCGGACUGUCAGGUAAACG
rnacentral:lncRNA from 1 species